rnacentral:piRNA from 1 species
UUUUAUAAUUUGGUCACUGUUUUGUUAUA